rnacentral:tRNA from 1 species
AGAAAGAUAAUUAAAAUAAUAAUUUUUAAUUUGCAUUUAAAAUUUGGGCUUCCUCUUUCUA